rnacentral:lncRNA from 1 species
AUAAUUUUUUUUAUCAAUCACACUGUUAUAGCCAUAAACUUAUGAACUCAACUUCUCAAAUCUUAUAGGACUACUCCUCUCUGUCAAAAUCGAUAGAUCCCAUCUAGAUACACACGUUGCUCCCAUAAUUCAACCAAUUGAAGCCAACAUUCACUUCAAAGACUCAUAAUCGAAUCAAUGCUUAUGUGUAGUCAAACAUAGCAAUCUUACUGUGAGCAACUGUGAUACCAUAGGUUAAAGAACUAGUCACACAACUAUAACAUCGAGAUGAUCACUGA